rnacentral:rRNA from 1 species
UACGUAGGGGGCAAGCGUUGUCCGGAAUCAUUGGGCGUAAAGCGCGUGUAGGCGGUUCGGUAAGUCCGCUGUGAAAGUCGGGGGCUCAACCCUCGAAAGCCGGUGGAUACUGCCGGGCUAGAGUACGGAAGAGGCGAGUGGAAUUCCUGGUGUAGCGGUGAAAUGCGCAGAUAUCAGGAGGAACACCAAUUGCGAAGGCAGCUCGCUGGGACGUUACUGACGCUGAGACGCGAAAGCGUGGGGAGCAAACAGG